rnacentral:rRNA from 1 species
GACGAACGCUGGCGGCGUGCUUAACACAUGCAAGUCGAACGGAAAGGCCCUGCUUUUGUGGGGUGCUCGAGUGGCGAACGGGUGAGUAACACGUGAGUAACCUGCCCUUGACUUUGGGAUAACUUCAGGAAACUGGGGCUAAUACCGGAUAGGAGCUCCUGCUGCAUGGUGGGGGUUGGAAGGUUUCGGCGGUUGGGGAUGGACUCGCGGCUUAUCAGCUUGUUGGUGGGGUAGUGGCUUACCAAGGCUUUGACGGGUAGCCGGCCUGAGAGGGUGACCGGCCACAUUGGGACUGAGAUACGGCCCAGACUCCUACGGGAGGCAGCAGUGGGGAAUAUUGCACAAUGGGCGGAAGCCUGAUGCAGCAACGCCGCGCGCGGGAUGACGGCCUUCGGGUUGUAAACCGCUUUCGCCUGUGACGAAGCGUGAGUGACGGUAAUGGGUAAAGAAGCACCGGCUAACUACGUG